rnacentral:rRNA from 1 species
UACGUAGGGGGCAAGCGUUGUCCGGAAUUAUUGGGCGUAAAGAGCUCGUAGGCGGUCUGUCGCGUCGAAUGUGAAAACCCGGGGCUCAACUCCGGGCUUGCAUUCGAUACGGGCAGACUAGAGUUCGGUAGGGGAGGCUGGAAUUCCUGGUGUAGCGGUGAAAUGCGCAGAUAUCAGGAGGAACACCGGCGGCGAAGGCGGGUCUCUGGGCCGAUACUGACGCUGAGGAGCGAAAGCGUGGGGAGCAAACAGG